rnacentral:rRNA from 1 species
UACGUAGGGGGCUAGCGUUGUCCGGAAUCAUUGGGCGUAAAGCGCGCGUAGGCGGUCAGGUAAGUCCGGUGUGAAAGUCAAAGGCUCAACCUUUGAAUGCCGCUGGAUACUGCCUGACUUGAGUCCGGAAGGGGCGAGUGGAAUUCCUGGUGUAGCGGUGAAAUGCGCAGAUAUCAGGAGAACACCGGUGGUGUAGACGGCUUUCUGGACCGUAACUGACGCUGAGACACGAAAGCGUGGGUAGCAAACAGG